GUCCUAGUAGCUUAAUGAAAGCACCGGCUUUGUAAGCCGAAGAAUGGAAGCUCAACUCUCCCCUACGACA
rnacentral:tRNA from 1 species